UACGGAAGGCAGCAGUGGGGAAUAUUGCACAAUGGGCGCAAGCCUGAUGCAGCCAUGCCGCGUGUAUGAAGAAGGCCUUCGGGUUGUAAAGUACUUUCAGUCGUGAGGAAGGUGUUAAGGUUAAUAACCUUAGCAAUUGACGUUAGCGACAGAAGAAGCACCGGCUAACUCCGUGCCAGCAGCCGCGGUAAUACGGAGGGUGCGAGCGUUAAUCGGAAUUACUGGGCGUAAAGGGCACGCAGGCGGUUAAUUAAGUUGGAUGUGAAAUCCCCGGGCUUAACCUGGGAAUGGCAUUCAAGACUGGUUAGCUAGAGUCUUGUAGAGGGGGUAGAAUUCCAUGUGUAGCGGUGAAAUGCGUAGAGAUGUGGAGGAAUACCGGUGGCGAAGGCGGCCCCUGGACAAAGACUGACGCUCAUGUGCGAAAGCGUGGGGAGCAAACGAGGGAUUAGAUA
rnacentral:rRNA from 1 species